UACGUAGGCAGCGAGCGUUGUUCGGAGUUACUGGGCGUAAAGGGUGUGUAGGCGGUGCUCUAAGUUCGGUGUGAAAUCUCCCGGCUCAACUGGGAGGGUGCGCCGGAAACUGGAGUGCUAGAGUGCGGGAGAGGGAAGUGGAAUUCCUGGUGUAGCGGUGAAAUGCGUAGAUAUCAGGAGGAACACCUGUGGUGUAGACGGCUUCCUGGACCGCCACUGACGCUGAGACACGAAAGCGUGGGGAGCAAACAGG
rnacentral:rRNA from 1 species